rnacentral:rRNA from 1 species
GGGUUGUGAGGUUAAGCGACUAAGCGUACACGGUGGAUGCCCUGGCAGUCAGAGGCGAUGAAGGACGUGCUAAUCUGCGAAAAGCGUCGGUAAGGUGAUAUGAACCGUUAUAACCGGCGAUGUCCGAAUGGGGAAACCCAGUGCAAUUCGUUGCACUAUCGUUAACUGAAUACAUAGGUUAACGAGGCGAACCGGGGGAACUGAAACAUCUAAGUACCCCGAGGAAAAGAAAUCAACCGAGAUUCCCCCAGUAGCGGCGAGCGAACGGGGAGCAGCCCAGAGUCUGAAUCAGCUUGUGUGUUAGUGGAACGGUCUGGAAAGUCCGACGGUACAGGGUGAUAGUCCCGUACACCAAAAUGCACAGGUUGUGAACUCGAAGAGUAGGGCGGGACACGUGGUAUCCUGUCUGAAUAUGGGGGGACCAUCCUCCAAGGCUAAAUACUCCUGACUGACCGAUAGUGAACCAGUACCGUGAGGGAAAGGCGAAAAGAACCCCGGCGAGGGGAGUGAAAAAGAACCUGAAACCGUGUACGUACAAGCAGUGGGAGCACCUUCGGGUGUGACUGCGUACCUUUUGUAUAAUGGGUCAGCGACUUAUAUUCUGUAGCAAGGUUAACCGUAUAGGGGAGCCGCAGGGAAACCGAGUCUUAACUGGGCGUUAAGUUGCAGGGUAUAGACCCGAAACCCGGUGAUCUAGCCAUGGGCAGGUUGAAGGUUGGGUAACACUAACUGGAGGACCGAACCGACUAAUGUUGAAAAAUUAGCGGAUGACUUGUGGCUGGGGGUGAAAGGCCAAUCAAACCGGGAGAUAGCUGGUUCUCCCCGAAAGCUAUUUAGGUAGCGCCUCGUGAACUCAUCUUCGGGGGUAGAGCACUGUUUCGGCUAGGGGGUCAUCCCGACUUACCAACCCGAUGCAAACUACGAAUACCGAAGAAUGUUAUCACGGGAGACACACGGCGGGUGCUAACGUCCGUCGUGAAGAGGGAAACAACCCAGACCGCCAGCUAAGGUCCCAAAGUCAUGGUUAAGUGGGAAACGAUGUGGGAAGGCACAGACAGCCAGGAUGUUGGCUUAGAAGCAGCCAUCAUUUAAAGAAAGCGUAAUAGCUCACUGGUCGAGUCGGCCUGCGCGGAAGAUGUAACGGGGCUAAACCAUGCACCGAAGCUGCGGCAGCGACACUAUGUGUUGUUGGGUAGGGGAGCGUUCUGUAAGCCUGCGAAGGUGACCUGUGAGGGUUGCUGGAGGUAUCAGAAGUGCGAAUGCUGACAUAAGUAACGAUAAAGCGGGUGAAAAGCCCGCUCGCCGGAAGACCAAGGGUUCCUGUCCAACGUUAAUCGGGGCAGGGUGAGUCGACCCCUAAGGCGAGGCCGAAAGGCGUAGUCGAUGGGAAACAGGUUAAUAUUCCUGUACUUGGUGUUACUGCGAAGGGGGGACGGAGAAGGCUAUGUUAGCCGGGCGACGGUUGUCCCGGUUUAAGCAUGUAGGCUGAUUAUCCAGGCAAAUCCGGAUAAUCAAGGCUGAGGUGUGAUGACGAGGCACUACGGUGCUGAAGUAACAAAUGCCCUGCUUCCAGGAAAAGCCUCUAAGCAUCAGGUAACAUCAAAUCGUACCCCAAACCGACACAGGUGGUCAGGUAGAGAAUACCAAGGCGCUUGAGAGAACUCGGGUGAAGGAACUAGGCAAAAUGGUGCCGUAACUUCGGGAGAAGGCACGCUGGUGUGUAGGUGAAGUCCCUGCGGAUGGAGCUGAGACCAGUCGAAGAUACCAGCUGGCUGCAACUGUUUAUUAAAAACACAGCACUGUGCAAACACGAAAGUGGACGUAUACGGUGUGACGCCUGCCCGGUGCCGGAAGGUUAAUUGAUGGGGUUAUCCGUAAGGAGAAGCUCUUGAUCGAAGCCCCGGUAAACGGCGGCCGUAACUAUAACGGUCCUAAGGUAGCGAAAUUCCUUGUCGGGUAAGUUCCGACCUGCACGAAUGGCGUAAUGAUGGCCAGGCUGUCUCCACCCGAGACUCAGUGAAAUUGAACUCGCUGUGAAGAUGCAGUGUACCCGCGGCAAGACGGAAAGACCCCGUGAACCUUUACUAUAGCUUGACACUGAACAUUGAGCCUUGAUGUGUAGGAUAGGUGGGAGGCUUUGAAGCGUGGACGCCAGUCUGCGUGGAGCCAACCUUGAAAUACCACCCUUUAAUGUUUGAUGUUCUAACGUGGGCCCCUGACCGGGGUUGCGGACAGUGUCUGGUGGGUAGUUUGACUGGGGCGGUCUCCUCCCAAAGCGUAACGGAGGAGCACGAAGGUUAGCUAAUCCUGGUCGGACAUCAGGAGGUUAGUGCAAUGGCAUAAGCUAGCUUGACUGCGAGCGUGACGGCGCGAGCAGGUGCGAAAGCAGGUCAUAGUGAUCCGGUGGUUCUGAAUGGAAGGGCCAUCGCUCAACGGAUAAAAGGUACUCCGGGGAUAACAGGCUGAUACCGCCCAAGAGUUCAUAUCGACGGCGGUGUUUGGCACCUCGAUGUCGGCUCAUCACAUCCUGGGGCUGAAGUAGGUCCCAAGGGUAUGGCUGUUCGCCAUUUAAAGUGGUACGCGAGCUGGGUUUAGAACGUCGUGAGACAGUUCGGUCCCUAUCUGCCGUGGGCGCUGGAGAAUUGAGGGGGGCUGCUCCUAGUACGAGAGGACCGGAGUGGACGCAUCACUGGUGUUCGGGUUGUCAUGCCAAUGGCACUGCCCGGUAGCUAAAUGCGGAAGAGAUAAGUGCUGAAAGCAUCUAAGCACGAAACUUGCCCCGAGAUGAGUUCUCCCUGAGACUUUAAGUCUCCUGAAGGAACGUUGAAGACGACGACGUUGAUAGGCCGGGUGUGUAAGCGCAGCGAUGCGUUGAGCUAACCGGUACUAAUGAACCGUGAGGCUUAACCUUACAACGCCGAAG